CGGCGGGCCACGGUCCCCCGACGGACCGCGACCCUUCUGUGAGGAAGGGAGAU
rfam:Alphaproteobacteria bacterium RIFOXYD12_FTLL_60_8 rifoxyd3_full_scaffold_4453, whole genome shotgun sequence.